GGUAUUUUAAUGCUCUGAGCAAUGUUCUGCUGGGAAAUCUUGGGUCCUGGCAUUCAGGUGGAUGUUAAUUUUACAUGUACUACCUACCAAGAGUUUGUUGCAGACCAUGUACAUCCCUUCAUGGCAGUGGUGCUCCCCAACAAAUCCGAUCCAAGGAGGUCCCACCUUGUAACUUGCAGAACUUAAAAGAUCUGUUGAUCAUGUCAUGGUGCCAGAUACCACAGGACAUGUUCCGGGGUCUUGUGGAGUCCAUACCUCAGCGCAUCAGAGUUGAUUUGGCAGCACUGGAAAGACAUAAAG